CCAAUAGCGUAUAUUAAAGUUGUUGCAGUUAAAAAGCUCGUAGUUGAAUUUCGGGGUUAGUAGGUUGGUCGUGCCACUGGUACGUACUGGUCUCACUGAUUCCUCCUUCCUGAUGAACUGUAAUGCCAUUAAUUUGGUGUUGCAGGGAAACUGGACUGUUACUUUGAAAAAAUUAGAGUGUUUAAAGCAAGCUGACGCUUGAAUACAUUAGCAUGGAAUAAUGAAAUAGGACGUUCGAUCCUAUUUUGUUGGUUUCUAGGAUUGACGUAAUGAUUAAUAGGGAUAGUUGGGGGCAUUAGUAUUCAAUUGUCAGAGGUGAAAUUCUUGGAUUUAUUGAAGACUAACUACUGCGAAAGCAUUUGCCAAGGAUGUUUUCAUUAAUCAAGAACGAAAGUUAGGGGAUCGAAGACGAUCAGAUACCGUCGUAGUCUUAACCAUAAACUAUGCCGACUAGGGAUCGGAUGAUGUUAAUUUUUUAAUGACUCAUUCGGCGCCUUACG
rnacentral:rRNA from 1 species